AGUUUUAAACUUCAACAGAGUACCUGCCUUCAAGGAAGUUAACACUUGAGAGAGUCUGGUAGGACCAGGCUAGAUCCUUGCAGCACUAUUCUGAACAUAGUGCAGUCUCUGCAGGCUUUUGUUAGGGAUCCCGAUGAGAAGUGCGUUACAGUAAUCCAGUCUGGAGGAGACAAAGGCAUGGACCAGUUUUUCAGCAUCUGCUAAGGUGAGUGCCCUCCAAGAGGCGCUACAGGAGCCUCUGUUCCAGCCCACCUGCUGCUGCUGAAUGUUCCUUUUUUUGGUUCAUGCUUCAUGAUGAUGAUGAUAACAGGUAAACAGCCUAACCCAUUUCAUUGUUUCAUUGCAUUGAUUCAGAUGUAGAUUGUAUCUUUUGUUUAGAAGUUGUUGUUUUUUUAUCAUAAGGACCUUUUUAUACUUAUCUUUUAAGUUAAAGGCAUACUAUGUAACUUCUCCCUCUUCAGUCCUCCUACAGGUUGUCUCAUUAGAACUACAGCCGAGUGAGCUGUAGUUCUAAUGAGACAACCUGUAGGAGGACCGAAGAGGGAAAAGUUACAUAGUAUGCCUUUAAAGUAGCAAUACCACAGUGUAAAAAUACUCCAUUAAAAGUAAAAGUACUCAUAAAAAGUUGACAAUAUAUGAUACAUUAUGAAAGUGAAUUAUUAUUGCAGAUGGUGAGUAAGCAGCAUUGUAUUGUUGUAGCUAGUCGAGAGGCAGCUCAUGUCACACCCCCGCCUGCCGUGACUUCUGCACGGUGACAGUCUAGUGUGUGUGUGUCAUUUUGUUAUGCCUGCCGUGUGUUUGGUGUGUGUGUGUGUGUGUGUGUGUGUGUGUGUGUGUGUGUGUGUGUGUGUGUGUGUGUGUGUGUUUUUUUUGUCUGUCUGUCUGUGUUUCUGUUCCCGCCUACAUUUUCCACAGAGUGAGGACACGCCCCCCCUGUUGAUUCUCCCCACACCUGGUACCAACUCCAAUCAGCGCACCUGCUACUCAUCCUGCUCCAUCAUCUGCCUUCAAAUGCCAGUCGGACUUUCCUCUCCCUGCCGGAUUGUUGCUUACCACUGAAAAUAACCCACCUUUGGAAUCCUCUGCUGCCAAUAGCGCACUGGAACAUCAAGUCUGCAGCCCCACUGAGGAACACAGCCCAGCACCCUCUCUGACAGUCCAGCCAUCUUCAGACACAGCACCCUCUCUGCCAGUCUAGCCAUCUUCGGACCCAGCACCCUCUCUGCCAGUCCAACCAUCUUCGGACCCAGCACCCCCUCUGCCAGUCUGGCCAUCUUCGGACCCAGCACCCCCUCUGCCAGUCUGGCCAACUUCGGACCCAGCACCCCCUCUGCCAGUCAAGCCAUCUUCGGACCCAGCACCCCCUCUGCCAGUCCAGCCAUCUUCGGACCCAGCACCCCCACUGCCAGCCCACACUCACAGCUUCAAUAAAAUAAGAUUCUUUACCACCUA